rfam:Populus trichocarpa isolate Nisqually-1 chromosome 7, whole genome shotgun sequence.
UCUAGAACCCGAGAUAUAGACUAAACACUGAACAGUGUUUGGGCUGCAGGACAGAUUCGGGCUUUUUUUUAAUGCUAAGAUUUGGACUCCAAAACGACAAGAUUGAAUCUUGGACUCUUAUGAAUGUUUUAGGCCUAUGUCUUAGCUUUCUAUU